rnacentral:ribozyme from 1 species
GGUGGAUGGGUACCUUGACUAUGGUCAAGGUAUUAAACCACAGUACCAGUCCAAAGUCUGG